rnacentral:misc_RNA from 1 species
GCCCAACCAGAUUCAACUGAAAACAGGAAUCUGCUGUAGCUUCGGUGCACAGAGAGCUAACGGAGCAGAUCGGUGGUUCAAUAGUCUCCGGUCGCCGGCGGCAUCAGUAGUAGCGGCAGCGGCAGCUUUGUCGUUACCAGAAAAUAGAAUCGGCGCCGGAGACACAGGUUGGGUAAAGAUGAAGGGUUUAUUAUUCAAAUCAAAGCCGAAAACUCCGGUUGAACUUGUUCGUCAAACUCGUGAUCUCCUUAUGUAUACACAGCGUAAUUCUGAUAUCCGCGAGAGCAAGCGAGAAGAAAAGAUGAUGGAGUUAA